rnacentral:rRNA from 1 species
GACGAACGCUGGCGGCGUGCUUAACACAUGCAAGUCGUACGGUAAGGCCCUUUCGGGGGUACACGAGUGGCGAACGGGUGCGUAACACGUGAGUAACCUGCCCACAACUUUGGGAUAACGCUAGGAAACUGGUGCUAAUACUGGAUAUGUGCUCCUGCUGCAUGGUGGGGGUUGGAAAGCUCCGGCGGUUGUGGAUGGACUCGCGGCCUAUCAGCUUGUUGGUGGGGUAGUGGCCUACCAAGGCGGCGACGGGUAGCCGGCCUGAGAGGGUGACCGGCCACAUUGGGACUGAGAUACGGCCCAGACUCCUACGGGAGGCAGCAGUGGGGAAUAUUGCACAAGGGGCGCAAGCCUGAUGCAGCAACGCCGCGUGCGGGAUGACGGCCUUCGGGUUGUAAACCGCUUUCAGCAGGGACGAAGCUUUUUGUGACGGUACCUGCAGAAGAAGCACCGGCUAACUACGUG